CACAGCUGCUCCGAGUGGUGCCCACGAAUAUUGGGUUUAAAACGUAUGUAGCCGGAUUGGCCAGUUCCCCGUGAAAUCCAACGACUCAAUCGUUGGGCGCGCGGGGAAUACUACCAGUCUUGGGAAUGGGGGAGGCCAAGGGUACUGUAGGGGGAGGGGUAAAAUCCUUUAAUCCUUGCAGGACCAUCGGUGGCGAAAGCGCUUGGCCAAAACAUGUCCGACGGUGAGAUACGAAGGCUAGGGGA
rnacentral:rRNA from 1 species